AUUGUGAAUAAUACGUUAUUAAUUACGUUUGUUUUGUGUGCAGGGUCCAGAUGGAAGAAGAGGCCCCAUCGGUGAGACGGGUUUGCCUGGAGGACCGGGAGCUCGAGGACUCCCAGGGAGCCCAGGUGCUUCUGGUCCACAGGGACGCAGGGGGGAAAACGGAGAUCGUGGACCAAAAGGAAUCUCUGGUUUUCCUGGACCUCAGGGUGAACCAGGACCAGCAGGAGACUCAGGACUACUCGGACGCCGUGGCCCUAACGGACAGAAGG